rnacentral:rRNA from 1 species
AUUGAACGCUGGCGGCAGGCCUAACACAUGCAAGUCGAACGAGUGGCGGACGUGUGAGUAAUGUCUGGGAAACUGCCCGAUGGAGGGGGAUAACUACUGGAAACGGUAGCUAAUACCGCAUACCAUCGGAUGUGCCCCGAUGGGUUUAGCUAGUAGGUGGGGUAACGGCUCACCUAGGCGACGAUCACUAGCUGGUCUGAGAGGAUGACCAGCCACACUGGAACGGAGACACGGUCCAGACUCCUACGGGAGGCAGCAGGGGGGAAUAUGGAACAAUGGGCGCAAGCCGGAUGCAGCCAUGCCGCGUGUAGGAAGAAGGCCGUCGGGUUGUAAAGGACUGUCAGCGAGGAGGCGUUAAUCGCAGAAGAAGCACCGGCUAACUCCGUGCCAGCAGCCGCGGUAAUUC